UUGUACCAAAGGGAGCGAGUCCUCCAGAGUCCAGUGAAGCAGCUGUUGGCCUCCCCAGGACCACGGAGGCCUGUCAGCUCCCACCUGGGCAGAGAUGGGCUCCAGGUUACCGCCAGCAGCGCUCUCCUUAAAGCAGUUCCUACAGAGGCAGAAAGUUCUGGGAGUUUAUAGAAGCAUGCUGAGGACCAUCCGCCAGGUUCCGGACGAGGCGGACAGGAAGUACCUGAGAGACUGGACCAGGGAGGAAUUCAAGAGGAACAAGAACGCCACCAACCAGGAUGCUAUCCGCAUGAUGAUCACACAGGCCACCAACCACCUGGAGGAGCUGCAGAAGUCUCUGUUGCUGGCGAGAAGCUGACCUCUGCAUUCUUCAGGAGUGUUCUUUACUUUUCUUCAGUGAAGAAAAUCAGAAUUUCAGUUGGAUUGACAGUAUGACACACCACCUGGUGGCCCUGUGCGUUCAUAACGUCCAUGUAUGAGUCCAGUGCAGCAUCAGCCAAUCAGUCGCUCCUGCAGAGCCCAGUGCUCCAUCCUCUGCAGACACUCGCUUUUCUCUGCAGAAACUCUUUCCACCGUCAUCUUAUCCAGAG